rnacentral:rRNA from 1 species
UACAGAGGGUGCAAGCGUUGUUCGGAAUUAUUGGGCGUAAAGCGCGCGUAGGCGGAUAGAUAAGUUUGAUGUGAAAGCCCUGGGCUCAACCCGGGAUGUGCAUCGAAAACUGUCUAUCUAGAGUUCCAGAGAGGGCUGUGGAAUUCUCGGUGUAGAGGUGAAAUGCGUAGAUAUCUGGAGGAACACCAAUGGCGAAGGCAGCUAUCUGGGAUACAACUGACGCUGAGGUACGAAAGCGUGGGGAGCAAACAGG